UACGUAGGGGGCAAGCGUUGUCCGGAUUUAUUGGGCGUAAAGAGCGUGUAGGCGGUUCGGUAGGUCCGCUGUGAAAACUCGAGGCUCAACCUCGAGACGCCGGUGGAAACCAUCAGACUAGAGUCCGGAAGAGGAGAGUGGAAUUCCUGGUGUAGCGGUGAAAUGACGCAGAUAUCAGGAAGAACACCCGUGGCUAAGGCGGCUCUCUAGUACGGUACUGACGCUGAGACGCGAAAGCGUGGGGAGCGAACAGG
rnacentral:rRNA from 1 species